rnacentral:rRNA from 1 species
GAUGAACGCUGGCGGCGUGCCUAGUACAUGCAAGUCGAGCGAACAGACGAGGAGCUUGCUCCUCUGACGUUAGCGGCGGACGGGUGAGUAACACGUGGAUAACCUACCUAUAAGACUGGGAUAACUUCGGGAAACCGGAGCUAAUACCGGAUAAUAUAUUGAACCGCAUGGUUCAAUAGUGAAAGACGGUUUUGCUGUCACUUAUAGAUGGAUCCGCGCCGCAUUAGCUAGUUGGUAAGGUAACGGCUUACCAAGGCAACGAUGCGUAGCCGACCUGAGAGGGUGAUCGGCCACACUGGAACUGAGACACGGUCCAGACUCCUACGGGAGGCAGCAGUAGGGAAUCUUCCGCAAUGGGCGAAAGCCUGACGGAGCAACGCCGCGUGAGUGACGAAGGUCUUCGGAUCGUAAAACUCUGUUAUUAGGGAAGAACAAAUGUGUAAGUAACUAUGCACGUCUUGACGGUACCUAAUCAGAAAGCCACGGCUAACUACGUG